AGUUGUGCUGUAGAAUAUGUUGUUACAGUACGUCAUAAGAAUAAUGAAACAAAGUAAAUAGUAAAUGGUAAAGUACCUCAACUACAGACUUGUUUGAGAGGUUUACAUAAUUGUUCACAGGGAAACAUGGGAAAUUGUUAUGUUUAAGAAGUCAGUUUAAUCUGUGUCUCCAACUGUGUGGUAUCUUGUCCUUAAACAGCCAUCCAUUAUCAUCAUACUGUAGCUUUUUUCAAGGUUACGUGAAGGAAAUGUGUGCUGACAACUUCAAAAGCCGAAACCCAUCACACAUUUUCACCAAGCUUCUUAGAGGUUGCACUUACAAAGGCCGCAUCAUUGCAUACACCUGUACAAUUUGAUGCUGUUCAGUGCAACAGCUCUGGAAUAAAUUUUACCUCCACUGUAACUGUGUAUAAUGUUGAGACUGACUAAAUUCAAUUACAUAUUUAUGUUAUUGAAGUGGUCGUAUUUAAAUGUGUUGUUGUAGCGGAUUGCCUUACACUGAGAGAUGGUGCAAAUGUUACUUACUUACAUAUGAGUGGGAUAGAAUAAGAUUGCUUCUCAAGAUAAUGCAGCACAAAGAAAAUAAUGACCUUAGUGCUAAAAUAUAAAAUUGAACAAACAACUUCAAGUCACUGGAAGAUCGAGAUUCAGGCCCAUUCUCGCUGAUACAUACUUAUUUUUACUGUUUUAAGAGUUUAAAAAUUAAAAUCUUUUGGUUGUAAAUAUUAAUACUGGGUCCCUCUGUAGAGAUGCACAGGAAAAAGCUUAUGUCUACAAUCAAAAUUUGUUUUACAGAAUAGCUGAUAAUACAUGCUUGCCUCUUAUGGUCAUAAUCUUGCAAAAAUAUGUUGUGAACUACAUUUAGAAAGUGUUGGCAUCCAAACUGCAACAUCCCCGCACAUGAUAAUAUAGAAAUAUUAAAAUUAAAAACCUCAGAAAAUGUUUUUCCACUUUUUGCUACAACAAAUGAUAAAAUGAUAAAAUAGCACAUUAUUUCAGUACUCUUUCUUUCAGCAUUACCAGAUGAAAGAUGCAAAGUAAACUAUCACAGCAGUGAAUUGUAGCACACUGUCAACUGGCAACUUGUGGGUGACAGUGCAGCAACCGCUUCCUUGAUUCUUACCAGACAACAUAAAGACAAGAACACAAACUAGCCUUCUGUCAGUGCAAAAUUCACAGUUUAGACUGAAACAGCCAGGAAGAAGAUAUUGCACCAUUGUGAAGGCAAAAAACAAUGAUUUGCAUCUACAUGAUCUUCACUGCUCUGGGAACAGCAGCAUCGGCUAAAGGUACAUCUGAGUGAUCAACUGAAUGCAAUUUCUCUGAACUCACUGCAGCUCAGUGUUUUGGAGCAGAGGGACAGAUGCUGACUUUUCAUCUUCAACAUAGCAACACAUACCAAAUCACUCUGAAAAAGGAUCAUAAUUCUCCGAUUGCAAGAGCAAAAAAUCACACAUGGACGUUGUAUGGGGAACAUGUGAAUCAGUCUGAACUCUUCACCAAUGGAACACUCAAAUUAGGCAAAGCAAUGAAGAGACACUCAGGAGAUUACUUGUUGGAAGUAUAUGACUCUGAUGGAGUUUGGGUGAAAAAUGUCAUAAAGCACCUAGAAAUACAAGCUCCAGUGUCAAAGCCUGCUGUGUCUCAGACGUGUCUGUCACCAGAACAGAUGAUCAUCAGCUGCUCCUCUGAGGGAGAUGAAGUAGAGUUCACUUUGACCUUGGAUGGUCUCUUACUGGUGCAGACCAGAAACCACAGCCAGUCCCAGACAAACUGGACAGCAAACAUGAAGCCACUGGCUGGGAGUGCAGCUGAACACAAAGCCAGCAGUUCAAAUGUUACCAUCAGCUUACAUGGCCAAGUGACAGGAAGCUUGAAGUGUCAUGUUGGGAACAAAGUCAGCAGAGACGAAACAGUCAUUCACCUGACAAGCUGUGAAGGUUCCAUUUCUCACUUGUCUCUCUUGGCUGUGGCUGUGAUCGUGAGUGUUGUCACUCUGCUUCUGCAUGCGGCUUUGUUUCUUUGCAUCAAACAUUUAAAUAAUAAAACAAGACCAACGACUGCCAGUGAAGCUCUUUCAGACAACCCUGAAGAUAAAAUCAUCUACUCAGACGUGAGGGUGAAGAAGAAAACCAAACCAACCCAACUCGACCCAAACUUAACAGUUUGCUUUUAUCAUUAGAUAUUUGACUAUUGAACAUAUCGACUGUACGUUUGUACAUCAUCAGCAGACAGCAGCAGCACUUCCUUCAGUAACAAUGCCUUUUGUGUUUUUAUUUUUCAGUGGCCUAUGUAGCUACAUAGCCUGUCCUCCAGAGUCUAAUUUUAAGCUUGCUGAAGAGCCUUUAUGUAACCAUGCAGACUUAAAAAAAAUCUAUUUCACACAUUAAGUUUUGUGUGCGUGUUGUAUUGAGAUAAAUGCUACCCUACCCAUAUAUCACUUUACAUUUUUCACAGUGAACUCAAUGCCGAAAACUGUGACAUUAUUUUUUUAAAGCACCCAUGCAUUUGUUUGUCAUGCUGUAUGUAGAUUUUACAAUAUUAUAUAAUUAUCAUUCAAUUCGCACAAUACAGAAGCCCACAGUAGGAAUUAUGGUCAUACAAAUAAAAAUGCAUCAACAGUUUAAUCAGUUGUUAAAAAUAUUAAAUGUUUAUAUACAAUUGUAAAUAUUAAACAGAGGACUUCAAUAAACAUUUGGGCUGACAUGUUCUGUAAUCUGCUAUAACCUUUGACUUAACAGACUCAAUUUUCCACUGACUGUUCAGUUGUUCCAUCUUUUGUUGUAAUCAAAGUCCAAGUCAAGCAUCAAUUCAAAAAGGUGUCGACUAUCAUAAUUCUGCAGUCUGAGAGAGCGAAGUUCAGACUGCUUUGUGUUACCUCGGUUUGAAAUUAGUCAGAGAUUUAACAAUAGAAAAGUGUAGCUCAUGGAUGACUUUUCGUAAUCUCUCGUAUUGACUUACUGCACUUACUGUAGAUGAAAGUAAUGUAGUGAUCAUUAUUGACCACAAGAUGGAGUCAAAAGCCAUCACAAGAAACAAGAUAAUGGUGAAGAAAGGAACUCGCUAUAAUCUUUUGUCUUUGGUAACUUCUUGGUUGAUGCAAAGCAUUGCAUCUUACUCUAUCUAUCUAUCUAUCUAUCUAUCUUCCCAAUACUUUUGUCUACACAGUAUUUAUUUAAACAGCUGCUUCAACCUCAACACCAGGGUGACCCUUGUUGUGCAGGCAGGAAGAGGUAAACAUCUGAAGUGAGACUUUUCUGUUCAAUUCUUUACUGACUGAAUGAUCAAGUUUUUGUUCUAUCUCAUGUUAUACUCUGUUACCAAUUAGUGACUGUGUAUAAAGGGACACGAGUGCUCCAAAAAAGUGAAGUGAUAGCAUCUUGAUUGCCCCCUGGUGGCUGGCUGUAGUAAAGGUCACAAACCAAAUCCAAAUCUUCAAGUCAUAUAUAUUAUUCCCCACUGGUGGUUUCUGUCACUUUAGGUAGAUCUUAGGACAUUGAUGUAUGUUCAAGUGUUCAUUUGUCUCAUAGAAUUGGCUUUAAUUUGUUACUUGAUACUAUAAAAAGUGGGUGAAACAUCAGCAGCUGAGUGCUGCUCAUUCUUGGGUCAGAUAGGUGUAUGGAACUCCACCCAUCGCUCCACCACCUGUCAGGUGUGAAAUGGAGAAUCCAAGACACUCAUUUAGUUUGAAACUGAAUGAAAUAACGUCAUGCAUUUAAAGAGCCCAAUCUGUGUCAAUCUUCAAUCUGUAUCUCUCAGACAAAGCAGUGCUAUGUGCACAGGAGCAGCCAAAGUCAGUUCCCUCAAAAUCUAUGCACUUCAUGAAGGAACAUUAACUGUAGUUAAAUGCCUGUUUGACAACCGUUAAAGAUGAAACAUUCACACCAGGAGGCUUUGUGAGCAAUGGUCACAUCUGAACCUUAAAUGGAAACUAUCACCUUGAGCUGAGUAAAGACCUCCACCAGGUGCAUGUCUUUGUUAUUCAGCUUACAUUUCAUGCAGAUGUGGUGUAUAGAGGAAACACUGGUGUGAGCAGUGGUUAUUUUUAAACCGCACUUAAAACUGUUGUAGCUUAGCUGUGGUUACAUUGGUCUCAAUGUAUGUAAGGACAAAGUAGUCUCACACACAGUUUAAUUUCACGUUAUAUGUGUCACCUGUGAGAAAGUUCAGUGAAGCAGACGUUAGCGAGAUACGGGAAAAAUAUGGUUUUAUAUUUUAAUAAAUAAUUUUGCGGUUCGAAUAUGUUGUCACAGUACACAUGUCCCUUGCAGGAACACCCCUCUUCUCUUAGCAGGUCUAACAUGCUCUUAGAACACUGAGAAUAAAAAAAAAAAACUUGUUUGAGAGGUUUACAUAAUUGUUCACAGGGAAUCACAGGGAAUUGUAAUGUUUAAGAAGACACUAUAGUCUAUGUCUAAAACUAUGUGAUACCCUGUGCUUAAACAGUCGUCCAUUAUCAUCACAUUGUGGUCGUUUUCAAGGUUACAUAAACAAAAUAUAUCUCAUAGUUUCAUCGAUAUACUAAGAUGCAGUUCAAUACAACAGCUCUGCAAUAGAUUUUUACCUGAGUUUAACUGAGUUUAUGUUUAUGUUGAGACUGUAGUUGAGACUGAGUCAAUUCAGUCUUAUAAUUCUGUUUAUUAAUGGGGUGGUGGUUCAAUGUGUUGUUUUACUGAACUACUUUGUACUGACAUGACUGUUCAUGUCAGAAUCAUGGUUGUUUAUUUAAUUUAUGUCACCAUCUGAACAGCUGACAGCAUGGACUGAUUUGACAAGUCUCAAAAGCUACAUUUCAAGUGUUUGUUUUUACUUCUUUCAGGAAACCCUGAAAAUGAAUUGUCUACUCAGAUGUGAAAGAAUGACGAAAACAAGACCAAACAUACAUACAUAAUGAUUUAACUGUUAUCACUGCAUAUUUGUCAACAUACCUACUGGACAUUUCUACUUUAUUUCAGAGCUGCCAGUUAAAAGAUUAAAUUUGUUGUUCAUGCACUGAUGCACUUCCUUCUGUAACAGUCUUUUGUGUUUUUAAGUUCAGUGACCUUUGUAGCUCCACAGCCUGCCCUAACCUACACCCUAAUUUUAAGAUUGCUGAAGACUCCUUAUGUAAGCCUGGAGAUAAAACUAUUUCACACAAAGACAUUGUUAAAGAAUUAUUUUUUCUGUUUUCAGUUCUGUUUCUGUGUUAUACCAACAGAAACCUUCAAACCAAGGUUAAAUAUUAAAGUGCUAAUGAAAAACAACAUUGUA